rnacentral:misc_RNA from 1 species
GCUAAACAUCAUUAUUUCAUGGGGCAGAGACUCUAGAGCACAGCAAUUCCUGAGCACAAGCCGUCUAAGUGUGGACAAAAGUCCUGCUUGUGGGGCAGACACAUCUUUUGUGCAUGAUUCCCAAUGCGAAUGCUUGAGGGGCAUGACACUGCACAGCUUGUUCAACAAUCGAUGCUCACUAUUGCAGCCUAGAAAUUCAAAAUUAUCAACACAAGGAGACAUUGCAU